rnacentral:antisense_RNA from 1 species
CUUCACCGACCCCAGCCACAGCGGCCGGUCGCGGCCCUGUCCGUAGGUGGCGAUGAUGGCCUGCGCCUC